CCUACGGGGGGCAGCAGUGAGGGAUAUUGCACAAUGGGGGAAACCCUGAUGCAGCGACGCCGCGUGGGUGAAGAAGCGCCUCGGCGCGUAAAGCCCUGUCAGCAGGGAAGAAAAUGACGGUACCUGAAGAAGAAGCCCCGGCUAACUACGUGCCAGCAGCCGCGGUAAUACGUAGGGGGCAAGCGUUAUCCGGAUUUACUGGGUGUAAAGGGGGCGCAGACGGCGAUGCAAGCGAGGAGUGAAAGCCCGGGGCCCAACCCCGGGACUGCUCUUGGAACUGCGUGGCUAGAGUGCAGGAGGGGCAGGCGGAAUUCGUGGUGUAGCGGUGAAAUGCGUAGAUAUCAGGAGGAACACCGGUGGCGAAGGCGGCCUGCUGGACUGCAACUGACGUUGAGGCCCGAAAGCGUGGGGAGCAAACAGGAUUAGAUACCCGGGUAGUC
rnacentral:rRNA from 1 species